rnacentral:misc_RNA from 1 species
UCUCCGUAGGUGAACCUGCGGAGGGAUCAUUACUGAGUGAGGGUUUAACCGCCCGACCUCCAACCCUUUUGUGAACCACCUCGUUGCUUCGGGGGCGACCCUGCCGUCCGCGGCUGAGCGCCCCCGGGGUCAAUCAAACACUGCAUUCUCUGCGUCGGAGUAUUAGUAAAUCUAAUCAAAACUUUCAACAACGGAUCUCUUGGUUCUGGCAUCGAUGAAGAACGCAGC